rnacentral:lncRNA from 1 species
UUUGUCAGCAAUACCAUAUGUUUUGCUGGUCAUUCAAGGAUGGAAUACCAAAACUAUUGGUUCUGUUUUUGUUUUGGAUAUGUUUUGCUAAAUUGGAAAUUAGCAGUGAUGACAAAAUCUAAGGCUUGUUUCUCAAAACAUUCGCAGUGGCCGCCUAAGAGCUUUCGCCUUCGCCUUCGCCGGGCUUGAGAGCUUGUGCUGCUUCUAUCCUUCCUUGGAUGUCUGAGCGUUUACUCUUUCUUCGUUCUUUCUUUUCUAAUUCUUGGCUUUUUUUUUUCUUUUCUGUUCCUUGGUUUAAGUUUUGAAGUCUGUUCUUGUUUCUGGUUUAGGAUAGGAUCAAUGAUUUGAGUUUCAGUUGUAUGAGUUAUAACAUUUGGUUUAUGAUGACAAAUCCAAAGGCUUGUUUCUCAAAACAUUCGCAGUGGCCGCCUAAGAGCUUUCGUCUUCGCCAGGCUUGAGAGCUUAUGCUGCUUUUAUCCUUCCUUGGAUGUCUGAAACAUUUAUUUAUUAUCAUUCAGUGUGUUUUUUGUGCUGUGGUAUGUUCAAGAUGUACACCUUCUGUUGGAGAAGGUUAGAAGAUUACUUUGGGCUUGUCAGUUGCCAAUUAGGCUUUAAGGUCUUUAUUUGGACCAUGUUGCAGUUUUAAAUUUGUAGUGAUGCUUGUUUCAACCAUUGUUGAGCUAACACCGAGAAUUGUGUUGUAGAAUUAUGUCCCUCUGUUAGCAACGACAGUGAAUUUUAAUUGAUUAUGAAGUUGCAUUUAGGACAUGGGUGUGAGUUUGCAGUAGCUAUCAACUACUAAAUUGGUUACAUUCUUGUAGGGGCUUUGGAUUUUGGGACUUUUGAUGUCUGCCCCUUUUGCAUCAAUUUGGGUUGCUUUUGGGAUGAACAAGUCCAUUAUAUACAAUUAUUCAUCCUAUACUUAAUCUGCACUUCUUUUGAUGUUUCACUGAUUAUGCAGUGAUGGAACAAUUUUUUUAGCUCUUGGAAUGUGACUGUGUUUCUCGCAUGAUAUGUUUGGUCACCAUCUUUGUGUUAUGUUUCAUUAGUUGUUUCUUGAUGCCUCGUCCCAAUUUUUAUUUUUUCAUCUAGUUAGCAUACUUUUGUAUUGUUGCAGUUAUUAAUUUUUGGUUCAUGAUGACAAAUGCAAAGGCUUGUUUCUCAAAACAUUCGCAGUGGCCGCCUAAGAGCUUUCGCCUUUGCCGGGCUUGAGAGCUUAUGCUGCUUCUAUCCUUCCUUG